rnacentral:rRNA from 1 species
AGUAACGCGUAGGUAACCUACCUCAUAGCGGGGGAUAACUAUUGGAAACGAUAGCUAAUACCGCAUAAGAGAGACUAACGCAUGUUAGUAAUUUAAAAGGGGCAAUUGCUCCACUAUGAGAUGGACCUGCGUUGUAUUAGCUAGUUGGUGAGGUAAAGGCUCACAAGGCGACGAUACAUAGCCGACCUGAGAGGGUGAUCGGCCACACUGGAACUGAGACACGGUCCAG